GACGAACGCUGGCGGCGUGCUUAACACAUGCAAGUCGAACGAUGAACCCGGAGCUUGCUCCGGCGGAUUCGUGGCGAACGGGGGCGCAACAUGUGAGUAACCUGCCCUUUACUCUGGAACACAUGAUAGAAAUGGUCGCUAAUACCGGAUACGACCCGCGACGGCCUCGCCAGGGGGUGGACGGAAGUUCGGCCAAGGAUGGACUCGCGGCCUAUAAGCUAGUUGGUGAGGUAACGGCACACAAAGGCGACGACGGGUAGCCGGCCUGAGAGGGGGACCGGCCACACUGGGACUGAGACACGGCCCAGACUCCUACGGGAGGCAGCAGUGGGGAAUAUUGCACAAUGGGCGCAAGCCUGAUGCAGCAACGCCGCGUGGGGGAUGACGGCUUUCGGGUUGUAAACCUCUUUUAGUUGUGAAGAGGCGAAAGUGACGGUACCUGCAGAAAAAGCACCGGCUAACUACGUGCCAGCCGCCGCAGUAA
rnacentral:rRNA from 1 species